AGUGAGAAGACCAGCCUGCUCUGAGAUCCUGAGUGAAUUUGCUGGAUCGUGGAGUCAUUUAGAAGCUGGCAGGGGAGUUGUGAUUGUUAUUUCCUACACCUGGUUGUGAACAUGUGCCUGCUGACCACAUCUACCUUACCAGGAGGUGAAAAAUCAUGGAAUUACAGAAGGGGCUGCCAACAUUGGAGAAAAUUAAGUGGAAUCAAACACAAGAAUGCCAGCGCUGCCCAUUUGCAGGAUUUAAAGAGGAAAUGGAUGGAGAACAUCAGGUCCCCAGGCUUUGGCAAAUUCUAGCCCAGGAUCUUAUUCAGUAGAUGAACUUACUGUGUGCUGCACCAGGAUAUGAUUCAACCAAUUCCCAGCACAGCAUUGGGUGAAAUACAGAAAAG